rnacentral:rRNA from 1 species
CAGCCCCUCGAGUGGUGGGGAUGAUUAUUUGGCCUAAAGCGUCCGUAGCCGGCCGUGUAAGUCUCCCGUUAAAUCCAGCGUCUCAAGCGUUGGACUGCGGGAGAUACUGCUCGGCUAGAGAGUGGGAGAGGUGUGCGGUAUUCUGGGGGUAGGGGCGAAAUCCUUUGAUCCCCGGAGGACCACCAGUGGCGAAGGCUGCACACUAGAACACGUCUGACGGUCAGGGACGAAAGCUGGGGUAGCGAACCGGAUUAGAUACCCGAGUAGUCC